GGUGUGCGUGUUUGUUGUCGGUGAGCAGGUUGAGGCAGUCGGUGCGCAGGGGAACGGGUUGGAUCUCAUUUCACUGGGAGAAACGCCGACAUGAUCCGGGGAGCACACGCCAGACCCCAUAAAGAAAAAUGCAGAUUUAAAGGUGGCAGGAUGCUUGACAUGCCAGAGCUUUUUCCUCUGAGAUUCAAAUAAAGCAAAGUGCUGUUGUUGCUCUUUA